rnacentral:rRNA from 1 species
GAUGAACGCUGGCGGCGUGCCUAAUACAUGCAAGUCGAGCGAACAGAUAAGGAGCUUGCUCCUUUGAAGUUAGCGGCGGACGGGUGAGUAACACGUGGGUAACCUACCUAUAAGACUGGGAUAACUUCGGGAAACCGGAGCUAAUACCGGAUAACAUUUAGAACCGCAUGGUUCUAAAGUGAAAGAUGGUUUUGCUAUCACUUAUAGAUGGACCCGCGCCGUAUUAGCUAGUUGGUAAGGUAUCGGCUUACCAAGGCGACGAUACGUAGCCGACCUGAGAGGGUGAUCGGCCACACUGGAACUGAGACACGGUCCAGACUCCUACGGGAGGCAGCAGUAGGGAAUCUUCCGCAAUGGGCGAAAGCCUGACGGAGCAACGCCGCGUGAGUGAUGAAGGGUUUCGGCUCGUAAAACUCUGUUAUUAGGGAAGAACAAAUGUGUAAGUAACUGUGCACAUCUUGACGGUACCUAAUCAGAAAGCCACGGCUAACUACGUG